CUCACGCAGAGGCGCCGGGCAGGAGCGGGGCGCCCGCGCCGCCGCGUAGCCCCAGCGGCUGCCGGUUACGUGGAAGGGGCUCAAGCGCGGGAGCUUCCCUCAGCGGGGCUGGGGGUGCGCGGCGCGGGGGGAGCUCGGGGGCCCGGCCUGGGCCUCGCUGCGGCAGUGGCCGGGGGCGAAAACAGCGUUUCUCUGCGCUUUUGCCAGGCCUCGGAGCAGCGCGGGGCCGGGGGGGGGGGGGGUGCUGCUCCGGCGGCUCCCCUGUGUGAGAGAUGAGUGUGCAUAUUCGCUUUCAAAGCACUGCCAGGAGCCUCCUGGGUUAUCUAGCCUAAUCCCGUGUUAUUGCAGCAUAUGAGGCAAAUGAAGCAACAGAAGAGAAGUCAAAGUGAUCUAGAAAAGAAAGGUGAAAUCAUCCAGAACGUUCAGUCUAAAAGGCAAGCCACAGUUUUACCUAUGGAUGAGAUGUGGCAACAGUUGACGCUGUUAUUUUCAAAAUGAUCUGAGGGAGUUUGUACCAGUCACUCAGCCGCCUUUGUGUAGUGCUGGGCAUGAUUCACAGUGCUCCUGAGUCAUGCGUUAUGUUGAUUAAUUUGUGUGACUGAAAACAGUAGGCUAUUAUUAGGCACUGAAUUAACAAAUACUUGGAGUUUUUCUUAUUAAACAGACAAUCUUAAUCUCUGAAGGUAUCGUUUAAGUUUAUAUUCUGCUUUGUCCUUUGUACCUGAGGUACUACUGCAUAUGGUUUCCAGGUCCUUAGCAUAAAAAGGAGAAAAAGGUAUCUAUAAUCAGAAGGAAGACUGUAGUAAUUGUUGCUUUAUUGCUGCACAAAGUUUGGGACUAAAGUAGGUCUUUUCAAGUCUCCUUUUUUGAUCUGAAGCUUUAGCUGCCCUUUUCAGUAUCAGAAUUUAUCUACAUUUCUACUGUAGCUUGGCAGUAGAUUUCUGAUGUGGGUUGACUUAAAUUAAAGAUUAAUCAAAGAAGUAAAAUUUGAUUUAAAUAAUGCUAUCAUUUUUGCUCCUAUAUUGCAUUUGUAUGAUUUAUUUUCCAAAACAGAUUUUUACUUUAAUUGACUGAUGUUGUAAUUAGACCAUGUUUAUCUGCAAGCUGGGUUGUUUUUAUGCCAUGUUUGGUACAUAUGUGUCUCCAACAUACUUUUUAGUAAGUUAAAACAAAUCUAUGAAUCAUAUACUUUUCAAAUAUGUAUUUUACUUUGACAUCUUUCUUGUUAAACCUUGAUGGAAAUUAUAAUUGAGCUAGAUAGACAAAAACAGCUUUUUUUUACUGGCAGUUUAGUGGGCUGCAAACACAUUUCAAAGCUAAAGUGAUUUAGUUCAAAACAAAACAGUAAUUGAUUA
rnacentral:lncRNA from 1 species